rnacentral:rRNA from 1 species
CANGUAGGGUGAUGCGUUGUUCGGAUUUAUUUGGGCGUAAAGGGUCCGCAGGGNGGUCCGCCAAGUCUGAUGUGAAAUCCCGUGGCUCAACCACGGAACUGCAUUGGAAACUAGCAGACUAGAGUAUUGGAGAGGUAAGUGGAAUUUCUGGUGGAGCGGUGGAAUGCGUAGAUAUCAGAAAGAACACCGAGAGCGAAGGCAGCUUACUGGACAAUUACUGACCCUCAGGGNACGAAAGCAUGGGUAGCAAACAGGAUUAGAUACCCUGGUAGUCCAUGCCGUAAACGUUGUAUACUAGAUGUGGGAGGAUUUAGCCCCUUCCGUGUCCAAGCUAACGCGAUAAGUAUACCGCCUGGGGACUACGGCCGCAAGGCUAAAACUCAAAGGAAUUGACGGGGACCCGCACAAGCGGUGGAGCAUGUGGCUCAAUUCGAGGCAACGCGAAGAACCUUACCUGGGUUUGACAUAUUUCUGACAUCCGUAGAGAUACGGCUUUCCUUCGGGACAGAUUUACAGGUGCUGCAUGGCUGUCGUCAGCUCGUGUCGUGAGAUGUUCGGUUAAGUCCGGCAACGAGCGCAACCCAUGUCGUUAGUUGCAAACAGUUCGGCUGUGCACUCUAGCGAGACUGCCCGUGUCAGCGGGAGGAAGGCGUGGACGACGUCAGUCCGUAUGGCCUUAUGCCAGGGCUGCACACGUGCUACAA